rnacentral:rRNA from 1 species
GAUGAACGCUAGCUACAGGCUUAACACAUGCAAGUCGAGGGGCAGCAUGAACAAAGCUUGCUUUGUUUGAUGGCGACCGGCGCACGGGUGCGUAACACGUAUCCAAUCUGCCCGCGGCUCGGGGAUAGCCCAUCGAAAGAUGGAUUAAUACCCGAUGGCGUGGUCACUCUGCAUGGAGUUUCCACUAAAGGUUUUCCGGCCGCGGAUGGGGAUGCGUAUGAUUAGGUAGUAGGCGGGGUAACGGCCCACCUAGCCUUCGAUCAUUAGGGGUUCUGCGAGGAAGGGCCCCCACACGGGAACUGAGACACGGGCCAGACUCCUACGGGAGGCAGCAGUGAGGAAUAUUGGUCAAUGGGCGAGAGCCUGAACCAGCCAAGUAGCGUGAAGGAAGACUGCCCUAUGGGUUGUAAACUUCUUUUGUUCGGGAAUAAAGUGCAGUACGCGUACUGUUUUGUAUGUACCGUUCGAAUAAGCAUCGGCUAAUUCCGUGCCAGCCGCCGCCGUAAGAC